GACGAACGCUGGCGGCGUGCCUAAUACAUGCAAGUAGAACGCACAGUUUAUACCGUAGCUUGCUACACCAUAAACUGUGAGUUGCGAACGGGUGAGUAACGCGUAGGUAACCUGCCUGGUAGCGGGGGAUAACUAUUGGAAACGAUAGCUAAUACCGCAUAAUAUUAAUUAUUGCAUGAUAAUUGAUUGAAAGAUGCAAUUGCAUCACUACCAGAUGGACCUGCGUUGUAUUAGCUAGUAGGUGAGGUAACGGCUCACCUAGGCGACGAUACAUAGCCGACCUGAGAGGGUGAUCGGCCACACUGGGACUGAGACACGGCCCAGACUCCUACGGGAGGCAGCAGUAGGGAAUCUUCGGCAAUGGACGAAAGUCUGACCGAGCAACGCCGCGUGAGUGAAGAAGGUUUUCGGAUCGUAAAGCUCUGUUGUAAGAGAAGAACGGGUGUGAGAGUGGAAAGUUCACACUGUGACGGUAUCUUACCAGAAAGGGACGGCUAACUACGCG
rnacentral:rRNA from 1 species